UGGUGGAGUGAUUUGUCUGGUUAAUUCCGUUAACGAACGAGACCUCGACCUGCUAAAUAGUUUUACGUAUCCUCUCGGAUACGGCGAAAACUUCUUAGAGGGACCAUCGGUGCCUAUCCGAUGGAGGUUCGAGGCAAUAACA
rnacentral:rRNA from 1 species